UUUAUAUGAGAGUUUGAUCCUGGCUCAGGAUGAACGCCGGCGGUGUGCCUAAUACAUGCAAGUCGUACGCACUGGCCCAACUGAUUGAUGGUGCUUGCACCUGAUUGACGAUGGAUCCCAGUGAGUGGCGGACGGGUGAGUAACACGUAGGUAACCUGCCCCGGAGCGGGGGAUAACAUUUGGAAACAGAUGCUAAUACCGCAUAACAACAAAAGCCACAUGGCUUUUGUUUGAAAGAUGGCUU
rnacentral:rRNA from 1 species